UCCUGUUCUUGAAAAUUUGAUGUUACGGAUUUUGAUUGGAGCUUACUGCAUGGUGUGUGUAUGUGAGGUUCCUCAGGAUGGAGAAUUCGACAUUCCUUUUCCUCAUGACCUUGAAGUCUGCAGUGUUUGCAAUAUCUUGCUUGGCCUUGUCUUGUUUGCUGUGGCCAGAUCUACUGUUAGCGGUUUUCCAACUGCUGUUGCAAUAGAAAAAACAGCCUCUUUAACAAAGA